UACAGAGGGUGCAAGCGUUGUUCGGAAUUAUUGGGCGUAAAGGGCGCGUAGGCGGUGCGGUAAGUCUUUUGUGAAAUCUCCGGGCUCAACUCGGAGUCUGCAGGAGAAACUGCCGUGCUUGAGUGUGGGAGAGGUGAGUGGAAUUCCCGGUGUAGCGGUGAAAUGCGUAGAUAUCUGGAGGAACACCGGUGGCGAAGGCGGCGUUCUGGACUGUAACUGACACUGAGAAACGAAAGCCAGGGUAGCAAACGGG
rnacentral:rRNA from 1 species